AGUUUUAUGGUGUAGUUGGUUAUCGUGUCAGUCCGACAUACUGAAAGUCUCCGGUUAAAGCCCGUGUGAGAUCA